GAUGAACGCCGGCGGUGUGCCUAAUACAUGCAAGUCGAACGCGUUGGCCCAAUUGAUUGAUGGUGCUUGCACCUGAUUGAUUUUGGUUGCUAGCGAGUGGCGGACGGGUGAGUAACACGUAGGUAACCUGCCCAGAAGCGGGGGACAACAUUUGGAAACAGAUGCUAAUACCGCAUAACAGCGUUGUUCGCAUGAACAACGCUUAAAAGAUGGCUUCUCGCUAUCACUUCUGGAUGGACCUGCGGUGCAUUAGCUUGUUGGUGGGGUAACGGCCUACCAAGGCGAUGAUGCAUAGCCGAGUUGAGAGACUGAUCGGCCACAAUGGGACUGAGACACGGCCCAUACUCCUACGGGAGGCAGCAGUAGGGAAUCUUCCACAAUGGGCGCAAGCCUGAUGGAGCAACACCGCGUGAGUGAAGAAGGGUUUCGGCUCGUAAAGCUCUGUUGUUAAAGAAGAACACGUAUGAGAGUAACUGUUCAUACGUUGACGGUAUUUAACCAGAAAGUCACGGCUAACUACGUGCCAGCAGCCGCGGUAAUACGUAGGUGGCAAGCGUUAUCCGGAUUUAUUGGGCGUAAAGAGAGUGCAGGCGGUUUUCUAAGUCUGAUGUGAAAGCCUUCGGCUUAACCGGAGAAGUGCAUCGGAAACUGGAUAACUUGAGUGCAGAAGAGGGUAGUGGAACUCCAUGUGUAGCGGUGGAAUGCGUAGAUAUAUGGAAGAACACCAGUGGCGAAGGCGGCUACCUGGUCUGCAACUGACGCUGAGACUCGAAAGCAUGGGUAGCGAACAGGAUUAGAUACCCUGGUAGUCCAUGCCGUAAACGAUGAGUGCUAGGUGUUGGAGGGUUUCCGCCCUUCAGUGCCGGAGCUAACGCAUUAAGCACUCCGCCUGGGGAGUACGACCGCAAGGUUGAAACUCAAAGGAAUUGACGGGGGCCCGCACAAGCGGUGGAGCAUGUGGUUUAAUUCGAAGCUACGCGAAGAACCUUACCAGGUCUUGACAUCUUGCGCCAACCCUAGAGAUAGGGCGUUUCCUUCGGGAACGCAAUGACAGGUAGUGCAUGGUCGUCGUCAGCUCGUGUCGUGAGAUGUUGGGUUAAGUCCCGCAACGAGCGCAACCCUUGUUACUAGUUGCCAGCAUUAAGUUGGGCACUCUAGUGAGACUGCCGGUGACAAACCGGAGGAAGGUGGGGACGACGUCAGAUCAUCAUGCCCCUUAUGACCUGGGCUACACACGUGCUACAAUGGACGGUACAACGAGUCGCGAACUCGCGAGGGCAAGCAAAUCUCUUAAAACCGUUCUCAGUUCGGACUGCAGGCUGCAACUCGCCUGCACGAAGUCGGAAUCGCUAGUAAUCGCGGAUCAGCAUGCCGCGGUGAAUACGUUCCCGGGCCUUGUACACACCGCCCGUCACACCAUGAGAGUUUGUAACACCCAAAGUCGGUGGGGUAACCUUUUAGGAGCCAGCCGCCUAAGGUGGGACAGAUGAUUAGGGUG
rnacentral:rRNA from 2 species